rnacentral:rRNA from 1 species
AAGCGUGCGCAGGCGGUUUGUAAGUCUGAUGUGAAAUACCCCGGGCCUCAACCUGGGAAUUGCAUUGGAGACUGCAAGGCUAGAAUCUGGCAGAGGGGGGUAGAAUUCCACGUGUAGCAGUGAAAUGCGUAGAUAUGUGGAGGAACACCGAUGGCGAAGGCAGCCCCCUGGGUCAAGAUUGACGCUCAUGCACGAAAGCGUGGGGAGCAAACAGGAUUAGAUACCCUAGU